rnacentral:lncRNA from 1 species
AUUUGAAUUUUAGGUCAACCUAAAUGUCAAAGAGAUCUAUAUUUUAUAAAUUUUAAUUAUUAUAUUCAAAUAUUAAUUUUUUAAAAAAGUUUCUUUCAACUUUUCAUCCGGCAAUAGAACCGAUGGCAAUGUAACUUACUAUAUUCGCGAGCUAACUCGUGUUCGGCUCGUUAAUAAACAGGUCGAUCACUGGCUAAACUUUUUCGCUCGAUAUUUUAACGAUCCAAUUUGUGUUCAACUCGUUUAAUAAAUGAACGAACAAAAGCUGCUGACUCUCGCUCGCUCGUGUUCGACUCGUGGACAACCCUAGUUAUAUCCAUACAAAU